AACGCUGGCGGCGUGCCUAACACAUGCAAGUCGAACGAGAAAGUGGAGCAAUCCAUGAGUAAAGUGGCGACCGGGUGAGUAACACGUGACUAACCUACCUUCGAGUGGGGGAUAACCUCGGGAAACCGGGGCUAAUACCGCAUAACAUCUUUGGAGUGGAAAUUCUGGAGAUCAAAGGAGCAAUUCGCUGGAAGAGGGGGUCGCGGCUGAUUAGCUAGUUGGCGGGGUAACGGCCCACCAAGGCUUAGAUCGGUAGCCGGCCUGAGAGGGCGCACGGCCACACUGGAACUGAAACACGGUCCAGACUCCUACGGGAGGCAGCAGUGGGGAAUUUUGCGCAAUGGGGGAAACCCUGACGCAGCAACGCCGCGUGGAGGAUGAAGUCCCUUGGGACGUAAACUCCUUUCGACCCGGACGAUAAUGACGGUACGGGUGGAAGAAGCCCCGGCUAACUUCGUGCCAGCAGCCGCGGUAAUACGAAGGGGGCAAGCGUUGUUCGGAAUUAUUGGGCGUAAAGGGCGCGU
rnacentral:rRNA from 1 species